UACGGAGGAGGCAAGCGUUAUCCGGAAUUAUUGGGCGUAAAGCGUCCGUAGGUGGCUAGUCAAGUCUGCGGUCAAAGACUGGGGCUUAACCCUGGAAAGGCCGUGGAAACUGACGAGCUAGAGUGCAGUAGGGGUAGAGGGAAUUCCCGGUGUAGCGGUGAAAUGCAUAGAGCUCGGGAAGAACAUCGGUGGCGAAAGCGCUCUACUGGACUGCAACUGACACUCAGGGACGAAAGCUAGGGGAGCGAAUGGG
rnacentral:rRNA from 1 species